ensembl:lncRNA
UUUAGAAGCACUUGAAGUACUUACACUGUUUGUCCCUAAGGUAAUAAAUCAUUGCAAUACUUCUGUAGUGGAUUUCUUAAUCAAAUCAUAGUAUCCUACUGAAAAUAACAGUUAAUGCUUAACAACUGCUAAAGUCACACUAUCUUCUGUGUUCAUGUUUUUUCAUAUCUCAACAGUCUUGUAUCCUUUUGCUCUGCCUUGUGCACAGGUGGUGACGGCGUGUGUAAUUUUGCACAACAUUUGUGUUGGUGUCGGGGAUGUGCUGGAAGAGGUUGUUGAGGAGGAGGACAACCAGCCACCUGGGGAGCUUGAUGGUGGAGAAACCCGGAGUGGAGCUGUUUGGCGGGCUGCGCUGACCAAUGAGGUGUCUGCACUCCACGAGGCACCUCUUGACCAUGACUAUUUUUGCCAGCCUUGAAGCAACAACAGCAGCACUGGCAGUGCUGUAGACAGUGUGGCUGAUGGCCACUUGUGUUCUUCUCGUCUUGUUGUAUAUAGCUGUAAAUGUUUAAGUUGUUGUAUAUAGUUGUAGAUAUGAGAAUGUUGUGUAAAUGAAUUUCCUGCUUCAUGUAUUUAGUUGUCAAUAUAGAAAUGUUUAAAUAUUUUUUUUUAUGUAACAAAGAUGAAAUUAAUGCUUUUUUGUAGAGCUUGGAAUACCGAAUCACAAAACGUUGUAAAAAAGGGUGAAGAUAUUGUUCAAUACAUUGUUUUGUUUUUCUAUUGCGGUCUAGAACAAGGUUUUUAAAAAAAUGGAUAUAGUUUAUAUUAAAUAAUUAAGGGGCAAAGACAAAACCAGUUCAAUUUAAUUGAAUUUAUUUUUCUGCCAACCUCUCCAACAGCAAAAAAAAAAAAAAAGCGGUUUGACCUCUCUCUGGCCUCUGCUUCCCUUCUCUCAUCUGCCUCCCUCUGGUAUUUAAUAUCCUCCUUUAAAAGAUGUAGGAUUGGAUCUUCUCGCUCCCUUCUCCUCUUCUCUCCUCUGUGCCCUGCUCUCUCUUUGCUCCUGUCUCUCACUGUCUCCUCCUCCUCAUCCUCGGCUCUCCCUUCAUCUACCUCUUGUGCAGUGCUUGGCCCUGGUUUUUCCUCUUGGAUCGAGGCACUAAGGCAAGGGGGCGAGACUGCUGCAGACUGCCCUAAUGCCUCGUCCAUGAGGGCAAACCAGGGUCAAUUUGCUGCCGUUGCCUUGCCAUCCUCUGUCCCUUGACCUGUGGCAGGGCACUUACAUUCCUAACAGUGAAGAUCAAAAAGUUGUGAUGAUGUACACUACUGUUCAAAAGUUUGGGGUCAGUAAGAUUUUAAAUACUUUUAAAAGAAUUCUCUUCUUCUAACCAUGGCUGCGCUUAUUUGAUUAAAAAUACUACAAAAAUCAGUUAUAGUAUUAAAUAUUAUUACAGUGUAAAUCAGCAGUUUUCUAUCUGAAUAUACAGUAAAGUGUAAUUUAUUCCUGUGAUCAAAGCUGAAUUUUCAGCAUCACCAGUCUUCAGUGUCACAUGAUCCUUCACAAAUCAGUAUAAUGUGAGGAUUUGAUGCUCAAGAAACAUUUAUUAUUAUCAGUGUUGAAAACGGUUGUUGGUCCGUCAGUUGUACAGUUUUUUUUUUUUCAGGAUUCUUUGAUGAAUAGGAAGUUCAAAAGAACAGCAUUUGUUUGAAAUAGAAUCUUUUGAAACAUUAUAAAUGUCUUUACUGUCACUUUCGAUCAAAUUAAUUAUUCCUUGAUAAAUAAAAGUAUUGAUUUCUUUCCUCCA